ACACUCUUGUUUCACUCAGAUCGCAUAAAUCUUUCGCCUUUUACUAAAGAUUUCCGUGGAGUGGAACAUUUUCAGUAUUCAACAAUUUUACUGCGGGGCAUACUAAACUGUCCA